ensembl:lncRNA LINC00237 long intergenic non-protein coding RNA 237
GGCAGCCCCGCCGACGCCGACCAGCUAACCGGACUGGGCUGCGCGCGGAGCCCCCUCUUCCCGUGCACAGUGCGGGGCGAGGCUUGGCGAGCGGUGGGUCUGCGCCUUCCCAAGAAGAGACUGGGGCAGCAUGAAUGUGCUGGAAGAUUAGAGGCUGCUGAUGCUGAAGGAAGGAGAAACGAGGAGGAAGUGUCCCUGUGGACAAGUCAUCUCCCUUCAUUUAAGCCAGGCCAGUAGUCCGGGAGACAUUCUGAAUGAUGCAUUAUCCUAGGCACCAGAAAGUAUCUAACAUUCUCAUGGACAGCAGGGAAAAAUGAGCACAUGAGACAGGGGAAGAUUCCAGCACCUGUGAACAUGUUUGUGCAGGUUUCCAGUCAGUACAUGGAUAUCCCUCAAGCCUUUGAAUCCAGUCUCCUGUGUUGUGAUUGGACCGUUUGUCAUUAGGUUUCCAGUGGCAGAGUAAUGCUGUGGGAGAACUGGCUACGAUGGCCGCAGGAGGUGAAUUAAGUAUUGUUGUGUUUUUAGUAGAACCACUAAAGGAAGAUCUGCAGGCAAGUUGGAUGAGUAUAAGAGCCAAAGAUUGACAAGACUUCCUCAGAUGCUCCUACUGACCAGUGGGGGCACUUCUACAGCUCCCCGAAUAUGUUCUCCCUGCAACCCCCACCACUUUUUAAUUAAAUGGCCAGAACUGCCUUUUUGUAUCAAAACUUAUUUUAGUCUAUCAAUCAAAGGCUUCUAUAGCCCACCUCAUGGCAAAGGAUAUCAGAGAGGGAAGGCUGGGAGGUAUGAAUUUGAAGCUGGACACGUUGCUGCUCCCCUUAAAGUUUGGAUUAUUUUACUAAAGAAGAAGAGAACAGAGUCUCACUGUUUUCCAGUCUGGCCUCAAACUCCUGGGCUCUAGAGAUCCUCCCACCUCAGUCUCCUGAGUAGUUGAAACUACUGGUGUGCACCACUGCACCUGGCUAAUGGUGUUUUUUUUUUUUUAUGAGUAAAAUUUUACAUUUUCAUGAAGUCUAAUUUAUUAGAUGUUUUCUCUAAUGGUCUUUAAAGUUUUGUGCCUUAAAAAAUAUUUCUCUACUCUAAGAUCAUGAAGAUAGUCUCCUAUAUAUUUUUAGGAACUUUAUAUGUUAACUUUCACAUUUAGGUUUAUGAUUUAUCUUAAUUUUUUUUGUGUGAAUGGUGUGAGGUAGGAGGUCAAGUUUCAUUUUUAAGAUAUAAAUUCAAAUUUCUCCAUACUAUUUAUUGAAAAUGUUUUUCUUUUCCCUUUGAGUUGUUGAGCAUCUUCAUUGAAAAUCAAUUGAAGGCUGGGUGUGGUGGCUCACACCUGUAAUCCCAGCACUUUGGGAGACCGAGUCAGGUGGAUCACCUGAGGUCAGGAGUUCGAGACCAGCCUGAUCAACAUGGAGAAACCAAGUCUCUCCAAAAAAAAAAAAAA